rnacentral:rRNA from 1 species
GAUAUAGGGCGUAAGCGCCCGUAGGCGGUUUGUUAAGUCAUAUCGUUUAUCUUUUGGCUCGCCGGGGACUCCCCCUGGAUGCUGGCUUAAUUGAGUCUCUUAGAGGAGGGUAGAAUUCCAGGUGUAGCGGUGAAAUGCGUAGAGAUCUGGAGGAAUACCGGUGGCGAAGGCGGCCCCCUGGACCAAAACUGACGCUCACGUGCGAAAGCGUGGGGAGCAAACAGGAUUACAUACCCUGGUAGUCCACGCCGUAAACGAUGUCCACUUGCAGGUUGUGCCCUUGAGGCCCCCCUUCCGGAACUAACGCGUUAAGUCGACCGCCAGGGGAGUUCCGCGGCAAGGUUAAAACUCUUUUGAAUUGGACGGGGCCCCCCCCGCGGUGGAGCUUGUGGUUUAAUUUUCAUGCAACGCGCUGAACCCUUCCUAAUAACCCGGCCUGC